rnacentral:rRNA from 1 species
AUUUGACUCACGCGGGAAUCUUACCGGGUCCGGACACACUGAGGAUUGACAGGUUUCGAGAGUUUUUUUGGAGUUCGCUCCAGAAUGCUCUCUUAAAUAUGCUAGUCCUUUCAUGAUUAUGUGAUAGGUGGUGCAUGGCCGUUCUUAGUUCGUGGAGUGAUCUGUCUGCUUAAUUGCGUUUCACUAAAGGCGUCAUUAUAUUUUUGUGCUUGUGUUUGACCCCUCUUUCUUCGGAUUGAGCGCGUGUCUUUCACACACAAUUACUUUGACGUCUGAAAGCAACGAACGUGACCGUAACCUCUUGUUGCCUUCUCUUCUCUUCGGAGAAUGCUAGUUUUUUUCUUCGGAUAAAUUCUAGUAUAUGGAGGCUUUUACUCAAACUAGAGGGACCGCUGUUACUUUCUUUAAACCAGAGGAAGGUUGCGGCAAUAACAGGUCUGUGAUGCC